GACGAACCGUGCGAACGUUGUUCGGAAUCACUGGGCUUAAAGGGCGCGUAGGCGGGCUGCCGCGUCCGGGGUGAAAUCCCACGGCUCAACCGUGGAACGGCCUCGGAUACGGGCGGCCUCGAGGGGGGUAGGGGCAUCUGGAACUGUGAGUGGAGCGGUGAAAUGCGUAGAGAUCUGGAAGAACACCAAAGGCGAAGGCAGCAUCCUGGGAAGUUCCUGACGCUCGGGUGCGAAAGCCAGGGGAGCGAACGGG
rnacentral:rRNA from 1 species